rnacentral:rRNA from 1 species
UAACCAUGCAAGUCGAACGCAGUAGCAAUACUGAGUGGCAAACGGGUGAGUAUAAUGUGGGAAUCUGCCUUUUGGUUUGGAAUAACACGGGGAAACUUGUGCUAAUACCGAAUAAGCCCUUACGGGGAAAGUUUUAACGCCGAAAGAUGAGCCUGCACUUGAUUAGCUAGUUGGUAAGGUAAAAGCUUACCAAGGCAACGAUCAAUAGCUGUUCUUAGAGGAAGACCAGCCACAUUGGGACUGAGACACGGCCCAGACUCCUACGGGAGGCAGCAGUGGGGAAUCUUGCACAAUGGGGGAAACCCUGAUGCAGCGAUGCCGCGUGAGUGAAGAAGGCCUUUGGGUUGUAAAACUCUUUCGUCGGGGAAGAAAAUGACUGUACCCGAAUAAGAAGGUCCGGCUAACUUCGUGCCAGCAGCCGCGGUAAUACGAAGGGACCUAGCGUAGUUCGGAAUUACUGGGCUUAAAGAGCUCGUAGGUGGUUAAAAAAGUUGAUGGUGAAAUCCCAAGGCUCAACCUUGGAACUGCCAUCAAAACUUUUUAGCUAGAGUGUGAUAGAGGUAAGUGGAAUUUCUAGUGUAGAGGUGAAAUUCGUAGAUAUUAGAAAGAACACCAAAUGCGAAGGCAACUUACUGGGUCACUACUGACACUGAGGAGCGAAAGCAUGGGUAGCGAAGAGGAUUAGAUACCCUCGUAGUCCAUGCCGUAAACGAUGUGUGCUAGACGUUGGAAAUAUAUUUUUCAGUGUCGCAGCGAAAGCAUUAAGCACACCGCCUGGGGAGUACGACCGCAAGGUUAAAACUCAAAUGAAUUGACGGGGACCCGCACAAGCAGUGGAGCAUGUGGUUUAAUUCGAAGAUACGCGCAGACCUUACCAACACUUGACAUGUUCGUCGCGAGACUAGAGAUUAGUUUCUUCAGUUCGGCUGGACGAAACACAGUGCUGCAUGCUGUCGUCAGCUCGUGUCGUGAGAUGUGGAUUAAGUCCCGCACGAGCGCACCCCUACUUUAGUGCCACAUUUAGUGGGCACUUAAAAGACUGCCAGUGAUAGCUG